UACAGCCCAGCCCAUUCACCCAAUUGGUUGUCAGGAAGGUAACAGGAGAAAUUUGUAAUCAGCUCCCCUCAUUCUCUUAUGAUUUUUUUGCUUGCUGUUUCCUUUCCCUCUCUUUUCAUUCUGAGAUAGGAUGAAGCCCAAACCUCUGUGCUUUCAAGCAGCCCUGUGGACGAUUCUGAUGUGCUGCCAGGCAUGAGUACUCCUGACGAUAUGAUCUUUGAGGACAGGCAUUUGUUCUUAUUCAUCAUUGUAUCCUAAUAAGUAACAUAUGGGCAUGCAAUUAAAAAACGAAGUCACAUGGAAGAUAAAUAACAUGCUCAACAUCACCCAGCCAGAAGUGGUGGAGACAUGGCCAACAUCACAGGGGACAACUCCUGAGCCUGUGCUAGGAACAGCCAGUCUUCCUGAAUUCAUGAUAAAGCAUGAAAACAGAGGCUCACAGAGAUCAUAUUAUUUUCCCCAAGUUGCAAUGAUGGUAAACACAGAUGACAGCUGGACAUCAACUAGGUCUGGGUGGCUUCCAACUCCAGUGACUCAAUGCUGCUCCACACGGCCUUCUUACAAGGAAAAAUGAGAACAGGCCGCGGGCCGGCUUCUGUAAAUCGCGUGUUGUUGGAAUUCCUGUCCUUCCUUGACCCAGAUUUGUAAACAGAGGCUGUGGAAGCCAAGGUACACAUGGGCAGAUGCAAACGAGCCGUCUGCUGAGGAGAAAGUCGAAUGUGCUCGGGGUGGGUGCGCGUCUGCCUGAAGCACGUGUCCCUGAGGCCUCCUGCUGUCUCCCCAGCCGGCUGACGGGCCCGGUGGUCUGCAGAUGGCCACGAAGUGUCUCCGGGCUGUCCAGCUGCAGCCUGGGCGGGCUGGCGGUUUUUUUUUUUUGUGGGGGGAGUGAUUCUGAGGGUGCUGGGUGGCCGCUGACAGAGCUUCCUUCUGCUACUUUUAGGCUUGUUGCUGAGCCUUUUUAAAGGGAAGGGGUGGAAAUAAGCAAAGAUAUUUGCUGUGACCUGGAACUGAAAUGCCUCACUUUAAAAACAGCUAUCAUUUACUCACUCAUCCAAGAAAUACAGGUUGAGCCCCUUCAGAACAACAGGUCCUGUCCUCAGUGCAGCGGAUGCAGCAGGGAUGCAUACAGAGUACCUGUCCUCAGGGAACUUGCAGUUUAUUGGAUGGAGACAGACAACCCAUAAUGAUUUGUAUAAAUGUCUAAUAUAUGCUAUAGAAAGAGAAGCAGCAAAGUAAAGGGGUGAAGGAUGAAAAGGCCAGGGGAUAUUUUUCUGAUGAAGUGACAUUUGAGCAGAUACCCAAACAAAGCAAAGCAGUGGGCCCAGCAGAUAUCUGAGGCCAGGAUGGUCUCUGGCAAAGGGAACAGCGAAUUCAUAAGCCCUGAGCAAGGCGAGCCUUCAAGGGUGUAGGCCUUCUUCAGAUGUUUAAAGAGCACCGUGCUUGGGGAGGGUCUGGAAGCCGCAGCCUGGGAACAAGUGAGAGAACUGAGGUGUUUAGGGCAGAAAAGGGAAGUCUUGUGAGUAGCAGGCAGCUUUCCUCAUGUAAAGGGUUCAAAUGUGGAAGAAGGAUAAGACUUUUUAUUACAUAAUGCCAGAAGUUGUAACCAAAGACCAGACCAGCUGAUGGAAGUUGCUGGAGGCUGUUUGCAAAGGCAAGAAUACUACAUCAGGUGGUGGUGUAUACUUCCAUCCAGAGGCAAAUGAUAUCUUCUUGUCUCUCUGUAAUACACAAAACAAUUUUCAACCAGAAAUGUAGAUGAGUGAGGAUUCUGACGUACCUAGAAUAUUUGGAUGACUGCUGCUUGAAUGGAUGGCCUUGAGACACCUGAAGACCCUGAUGUGCCUUCUGAAUCAUACCACGAUUCAAUUACAUCCAUCAUUUAACAACAACAACAACUCUAGAAGGUAAACAUAAGAAAGGAAAACUUUUGUACGGUGAACUUGGGCUAAAAAGAAGAAUGAUGUCUCUGGAACUUUUGCUGCUUAUAGGAAUGAGAGCAAAAUCCUGGCAUGACCAUGAUCCUUCAAUGAGCACCACUGUGUUGCUGCAUUCUGUCUGGCCAAUCUAGUCUAUAAUAGUUUUUUGUUUUGUUUUGAUUUUUGUGUGUUUUU